CCCUUAGAGUUUGAUCCUGGCUCAGGAUGAACGCUAGCUACAGGCUUAACACAUGCAAGUCGAGGGGCAGCAUUUCAGUUUGCUUGCAAACUGGAGAUGGCGACCGGCGCACGGGUGAGUAACACGUAUCCAACCUGCCGAUAACUCGGGGAUAGCCUUUCGAAAGAAAGAUUAAUACCCGAUGGUAUAAUCAGACCGCAUGGUCUUGUUAUUAAAGAAUUUCGGUUAUCGAUGGGGAUGCGUUCCAUUAGGCAGUUGGUGAGGUAACGGCUCACCAAACCUUCGAUGGAUAGGGGUUCUGAGAGGAAGGUCCCCCACAUUGGAACUGAGACACGGUCCAAACUCCUACGGGAGGCAGCAGUGAGGAAUAUUGGUCAAUGGGCGCAGGCCUGAACCAGCCAAGUAGCGUGAAGGAUGACUGCCCUAUGGGUUGUAAACUUCUUUUAUAUGGGAAUAA
rnacentral:rRNA from 1 species